UGGAAAUAUGCUUUAAGAGCACGAACUUAUAUGCGGUAGUGAAAGCUUCUUCUAUUAAAUACGAUGGAGCGACUGAAACUUUAAUUGAUGGCAUUUUGUCUAACUUCUGAAAAUGCGCUUCAUUUCGAAAAGAUGGCGGAAAA
rnacentral:lncRNA from 1 species